CUACGGGAUGCUCCAGUGAGGAAUAUUGCACAAUGGGGGGAACCCUGAUGCAGCAACGCCGCGUGGAGGAUGACGCAUUUCGGUGUGUAAACUCCUUUUAUAUGUCAAGAAAAUGACGGUAGCAUAUGAAUAAGCACCGGCUAACUCCGUGCCAGCAGCCGCGGUAAUACGGAGGGUGCAAGCGUUACUCGGAAUCACUGGGCGUAAAGGACGCGUAGGCGGGUUGGAAAGUCAGGUGUGAAAUCCUACAGCUUAACUGUAGAACUGCACUUGAAACUUCUAAUCUAGAGUAUGGGAGGGGGAGAUAGAAUUAGUGGUGUAGGGGUAAAAUCCGUAGAUAUCACUAGGAAUACCUAAAGCGAAGGCGAUCUCCCGGAACAUUACUGACGCUAAGGCGUGAAAGCGUGGGGAGCAAACAGGAUUAGAUACCCGAGUAGUC
rnacentral:rRNA from 1 species